GGGCGCUUCUUCCAGCUGUGGAGGCACUAACAAUGGACGCCCAGAAAGAUGUUCAACCACCAAAGCAGCAGCCAAUGAUAUAUAUUUGUGGAGAGUGUCACACGGAAAAUGAGAUAAAGUCCAGGAAUCCAAUCAGAUGCAGAGGAUGUGGAUACAGGAUACUGUACAAGAAAAGGACUAAAAGAUUGGUGGGUUUUGAUGCUUGA